rnacentral:rRNA from 1 species
UACAGAGGUCUCAAGCGUUGUUCGGAUUCAUUGGGCGUAAAGGGUGCGUAGGUGGUGCCGUAAGUCAGGUGUGAAAUCUCGGGGCUCAACCCCGAAACUGCAUUCGAUACUGCGGUGCUUGAGGACUGGAGAGGAGACUGGAAUUUACGGUGUAGCAGUGAAAUGCGUAGAUAUCGUAAGGAAGACCAGUGGCGAAGGCGGGUCUCUGGACAGUUCCUGACGCUCAGGCACGAAAGCCAGGGGAGCAAACGGG